rnacentral:rRNA from 1 species
UACGUAGGGUGCAGGCGUUAAUCGGAAUUACUGGGCGUAAAGCGUGCGCAGGCGGUCUUUUAAGUCGAUUGUGAAAUCCCCGGGCUUAACCUGGGAACUGCAGUCGAGACUGUCUAGCUAGAGUAUGGGAGAGGGAAGUGGAAUUUCAGGUGUAGUGGUGAAAUGCGUAGAUAUCUGAAGGAACAUCAGUGGCGAAAGCGACUUCCUGGACCAAUACUGACGCUCAUGUGCGAAAGCGUGGGGAGCAAACAGG